UACGUAGGGUGCGAGCGUUGUCCGGAAUUAUUGGGCGUAAAGGGCUCGUAGGCGGUCUGUCGCGUCGGGAGUGAAAACUCAGGGCUUAACCCUGAGCCUGCUUCCGAUACAGGCAGACUAGAGGUAUGCAGGGGAGAACGGAAUUCCUGGUGUAGCGGUGAAAUGCGCAGAUAUCAGGAGGAACACCGGUGGCGAAGGCGGUUCUCUGGGCAUUACCUGACGCUGAGGAGCGAAAGUGUGGGGAGCGAACAGG
rnacentral:rRNA from 1 species